rnacentral:lncRNA from 1 species
CGCCCUCUUAGUCCUGGUCUUGACUUUAAAUUUUUUUUUCUUAGUUUACAUGUAUUAGUUUGUGAUUAGGUCAGUUAAUUUCAAAUGAAACCAUUAGUGUUAGGCAAAUGUUGGUAUUCAGUUGUACAUGUAUAAGUAUAAGUGCACCUCAUUUUCAUGGAGAAUAUUUGGUGCAGACUCGUCAGUCAUGGUCUAUUGACUUUGAAACUUUUGCUUAUUUGACAUGUAUUUGUCUCUAUGAUAACAGUUUAUUUC